rnacentral:rRNA from 1 species
UUCCCGGACCCUUGUANACACCGCCCGCAAGCGAUGGAAGCUGGGAGGGACCUGAAGACAGUUGCUGUAAGGCGCUGUUUAGGGUAAAACCGGUGACUGGCGCU